CCAAACCUGAGACUGGGUGACUCUUGCCUAGGCUCACAGAUCGAGCCUUCCCAGUGUUGCACUGGGACCCUAGGGUGGCCCUGGGGUGCCCAAGAGAUGCGCAAGCAUCUCGCGCCUUCCAAGCGAUCAGCGAGGAAAAACGGGGUCCAAAUUCGAGUAGAAUCUGCGGGUUGCGGGAAGAUGGCCUGCGAGUGCGGUGGGGGACAAUACCCUAGGGCCCCGUGCGCCCUCGCUUUCCCGGGGCACUCUCACCAUUUGUAGCCUCUGCCGCGCUUGAACUUGAGGGUGAGCGCAGUCUCCAGGAAGAGCAAGAGGUUGAGCAGCGCAAGCAGCCAGUACCGCGGCUCCUUCUUCACCUCGGUCACUCGCCAGACCCCGACCAGCGAGUGCAGCAGGAACAGCAACCGAGUGGCCAGGGCGUUAAGGAAGACCAGUCCCUCCAUGCUGGCCGGAGCACUCUGCCUACGUCCCCUUGCCUGCGCCCCCAGGACCCUGCCGGGCGUGCCCGGAGCCCACCGGUGAGCAGGAAUAUGACAAGCACUGAGACCUGCUGCUGCUUGUGGUCCCUUCUCACCCUCAGCGCCCGAUGCCGGUAGAACUGGUGCGCGGCUCGCCCCUCCCCCAAACUUCCUGAGAACUCUUCAAAGAGGGUUGUGAUUUGAAGAGUAACCUUCUUCAGAAAACUGUGGAGACUUCACAGAAAUGGCAGAAGCUAGUUGAAGUCUACAAAUUACCUAAUGGAACAGGUGUUAUUCCCAUGAGAUUCCCAAAUAAACUUCCUGCAUGCAAAUCUCCAUCUCAGCAUCUGUUUCCCUGAGGAGGAACCAACCUAAAAUGAAUUGCAAAUUAAAAUCUCAAAGUGAGUCAAAGCAACCAGAAUUUCCCUUCCCAAGGAAAGUGCAUUUUUAAAUGAUCAUUGUGGACCACUGUGAAGAUAAUGCAUUGUUGAGAAGACGGAAUUGAAGUUGGAAGCCACUUUUAGGCUAUUGUAAGAGAUGAUGAUGACUUGGACCAUAAAAGCGGCUUUGAAACAAAAAUACACGGGAAAUUAAAGAUGCAGUUUGAAAGGUGCAUCCACUGGAUUCAAUGACUGAUGGGAUGAGAAGGGUGAGGGCAUGUCGGUGAUGAAACUAUCACUACUGUUCAAGGUGCCAGAAGUUUGACUUACCAUCGCUUUUGAACAAUCAUCACUACAUGUCAGCGUGGGAAAAAGAAUAAAAUAACAUCUUAAUAUUAUUAUGAAAA